AGCGAACGCUGGCGGCAGGCUUAACACAUGCAAGUCGAACGGGCACUUCGGUGCUAGUGGCAGACGGGUGAGUAACACGUGGGAACGUACCUUUCGGUUCGGAAUAAUACAGGGAAACUUGUACUAAUACCGGAUACGCCCUUUGGGGGAAAGAUUUAUCGCCGAUUGAUCGGCCCGCGUCUGAUUAGCUAGUUGGUGAGGUAAUGGCUCACCAAGGCGACGAUCAGUAGCUGGUCUGAGAGGAUGAUCAGCCACACUGGGACCGAGACACGGCCCAGACUCCUACGGGAGGCAGCAGUGGGGAAUAUUGGACAAUGGGCGCAAGCCUGAUCCAGCCAUGCCGCGUGAGUGAUGAAGGCCUUAGGGUUGUAAAGCUCUUUUGUCCGGGAAGAUAAUGACUGUACCGGAAGAAUAAGCCCCGGCUAACUUCGUG
rnacentral:rRNA from 1 species